rnacentral:rRNA from 1 species
GGGAACCUUCCUCUAAGGCUAAAUAUAAUACAUAAGCGACAGUGAAUAGUACCGUGAGGGAACGGGUUGAAAUAGUAGUUUUAUAAGCAGCUCGAGCUAAGGCAAGAGCGUACCUUUUGCAUAAUGGGUCACCAAGUUAACAUUAGAUGCGAGCAAUUUGCGUAGUUAAACCGAUGAUCAAAAAUGAAUUAGUGUCUAAAGUUAGACCCGAAGCUAGGUGAUCUUACUAUAGUCAGGAUUAUAAAAGUCCGAACGGGUAGAAAAAUAAGGAUAAGCUCUUAUUAUUAGCCCAUGUAGAAGUGAACCUUCUGCAAUAUAUCUUCAAAUUGCGGGAAACCCCUAAGAGCAAUCUUAACUAACAUAAGCUUGUGAAAGAACAUCUUCGCAGGUACAGAACUUAAUCUCAGGCAAGAUGUUUCAAAUUUUCUGGUAAGUUGAAUAAACUUGUUAAAAAAUCAACAUUUUACUUUGUAUAUAUCGGGGGGUCGUAGAGACUUUAUCGGUGAGUAUGUAGACUCGGAAUGGCAAAGAUGAAUCUUGAAUUAUCAGACAUAGAAUGAUAAGGUUGUAUGUCAAAAGGGAAACAGCCCAGAACAAGAGUUAAGGUUCCGAAAUUAUUGUUAAGUGAAAUUAAGAAAGUCUUUAUUCAAGUCGACAAGGAGAUGGGCUUAGAAGCAGCCAUAAUUCAAAGACCUCGUAACAGAGCGCUUGUUAAUUUUUAAAGGCGUCGAAAAUUUAACGGAUCUAAACAAUGUACCGAAACCUUGUCCAUAAUUGAUAAUAAUAAAUAAAUUAUUGUCUUUUACUGGGGUAGCAGAACAUUGAGUAAACCUGCUUCAUUAUAUUAUUUUAUAAUAAAUGAGUAGUGAUAUAGUAUCACUAACAGCAAACUCAAGAGAGAAUGGUGACAUGAGUAACAAAAAAGAAGUUGUAAGUGGUAAUUUAUAAAUUACCCGAUUUCUUUCUUUAAUGAGGAAGAAAUCUGACGAAUAGUCCAACUCUCGCCUAAAGCUUAUGGUUUAUUUAAAGUAACGGCCUCUAAGUUUACAAUCCCAAAGGUUGAAACGAUGAGAAAAUCUUAUUACUUAAAGGACAACAUUUAUAAAGUGAAAAGUGUGCUGGAAAAAAUAAGUAAUAUAUUAAUAUUUAACAAUAAACUAAAUAGAUGAGUUUAAUAUUAAUGAAAAAAAACCGUACCUAGAAACUGUGACAAGUAAGCUAGUGUAGAAUACGAAGGCGUAAAUGAGCUAACAAUCAUAAAGGAACUCGGCAAACUAACUACCGUAACUUAGGGAUAAGGAGGGCUCAUUCGUCCCGAAAAUCUCGGGUAAGAAGGAAGAAGCAUAAAAUAUUGUUGUACGACUGUUUAAUUAAAACAAAGCACUUUGCAUAAAGACUUAAAGUCUAAGUAUAGAGUGUGAUUUCUGCCCGAUGCCGGCUGGCUAACGAAAAUAACUAACUUUAAAAGGUUUGGUACUGUAGGAACCCCCGGUUAAUGGCGGCCUUAUCUUGAGGGUCCUAAGGUAGCGGAAUACCUUGACUGUUAAAUGCAGUCUUUGCAUGAAUGAUGUAACGAUACAACAGCUGUCUCUAUGAUUGACUCAGUGAAAUUGGCAUAACUGUGCAGAUACAGUUUACCUCUAGUUAGACGAGAAGACCCUAUGCAGCUUUACUGUUACUAAUUAUUAGGUAUGGUUGGGGACAAAUUUUAGUAAAUAAGGUAAUUGAUAAGAUAGAAAUGUAAUACCUUUAUUUGGGGAUCGUAUUGUAUGGAUUAAUUAAUCCUCUUCUUUUUUGUAACAAAAAAGGAAAGUAACCUUAGAAAGGAAAAAUUGCUAGGAGACAGUUUAUGCGGGGCACAGACCCCACAAAGAGUAAAUGGGAGUGUCCAAUUAUGUUUUACGCCUAUUAUUUAUAGAUGUAUCACUAAAUAAAAUUUUAAAUGUAAUUUUUUGUUUGUAAUAGUAGAUAGCAAUACGCUAUAUUCUAUCUUAUUUAUGUAUAGAUGUACAAGCCUAAACACAUGAUGUGUUUAAUGAUUAUUGCUUUUUUGUAUCUAAAUACUUUUUCGGUAUGGAUUUACAAAACUUUAAUGAGGAGCAAUUUUUUUAUUAGGUAGGAUUUUUAUUAUAGUGAAAUUAGUCGUAGUUAAAUUAUUAUGAAUGCGCUCUACAAGGGUGCUCUUCUAAUAUUUUAUUCGCUAUUAUAUAUUAGUAUAUAAUGGUUAUGUAUAAUACUUAUCAAGUUUAAUGGCUUAAUCCUGCCUUACUGUUUGACCACCAACAAGUCUUACAGUCGCGUAAGCGGGGCAUAGGAUCACAAGACACAAAAAGGAAAGGUCUUGGAUUAUUGGAAAAGCUACGCUAGGGAUAACAGGCUAAUUUGCGCAAGAGUGUACAAAAUGAGUGCGCGGUUUGGCACCUCGAUGUCGGCUUAACUUAUCCUCAUGGAUGCAGUAACUAUGUAGGGUACGACUGUUCGUCGAUUAAAAAGUUACAUGAGCUGGGUUAAAUACGUCGUGAGACAGUAUGGUUUCUAUCUUCUAGAGGGAAUUAGAAUAUAAUAAGGAAUAACCUAUGUACGCAAGGAACUUGGUAUAUUAAUAUUAAUAUUAAUAUUGAAAUAACAUAAUUAUUAAUCUCUGGUUUACCUGUUGUUUAUAUGUCCAAAUAUUAACGUAAAUUAUAUAGGACUAUCCUACUUUCACUUGAGUAGUUAUAUAGUAUAGGCACGGCAGGAAAGCUAUGUUAGUCAAAGAUAAGUGCUGAAAGCAUAUAGGCACGAAGCUUACCUUAAGAUAUUUCUCAUAUACGUAAUAUAACAUUACGAUCAUAAUAUUCUAAAUGUUGCUGCGCUGCAAAGCGUGCACACGUGGUUUGUAAUAUUAUGAGAAUAGGCUUUAUUUGUAAGAAUCUAGAGAUUAUAAGGAAUAAAGUACUAAUUUUGUAAAACACUAAAUAUUUUAUAACAGGCUAAUUUGCGCAAGAGUGUACAAAAUGAGUGCGCGGUUUGGCACCUCGAUGUCGGCUUAACUUAUCCUCAUGGAUGCAGUAACUAUGUAGGGUACGACUGUUCGUCGAUUAAAAAGUUACAUGAGCUGGGUUAAAUACGUCGUGAGACAGUAUGGUUUCUAUCUUCUAGAGGGAAUUAGAAUAUAAUAAGGAAUAACCUAUGUACGCAAGGAACUUGGUAUAUUAAUAUUAAUAUUAAUAUUGAAAUAACAUAAUUAUUAAUCUCUGGUUUACCUGUUGUUUAUAUGUCCAAAUAUUAACGUAAAUUAUAUAGGACUAUCCUACUUUCACUUGAGUAGUUAUAUAGUAUAGGCACGGCAGGAAAGCUAUGUUAGUCAAAGAUAAGUGCUGAAAGCAUAUAGGCACGAAGCUUACCUUAAGAUAUUUCUCAUAUACGUAAUAUAACAUUACGAUCAUAAUAUUCUAAAUGUAAUAUUAUGAGAAUAGGCUUUAUUUGUAAGAAUCUAGAGAUUAUAAGGAAUAAAGUACUAAUUUUGUAAAACACUAAAUAUUUUAU